CUUCAUUAGCUGUGGGAUGUGGGCUCAGCAAUUGUGGUGCACGAGUUUAGUUGCUUCCUGGCAUGUGGGAUCUUUCCAGAUCAGAGAUGGAACCUGUGUCCCCUGCACUGGCAGACAGAUUCUUAAUCACGGGACCAUCAGGGAAGUCUAGCCUCAUUGUGUUGGAUUCCUGCAACAUGGGAAAGAGAAGCGGUGGCAGUUUGGGACCUCCCCUUUUCACAUGGAGGAGUGGACACACGCAGAUGAAUAGAGCCUGA
rnacentral:lncRNA from 1 species